AACGAACGCUGGCGGCAGGCUUAACACAUGCAAGUCGAGCGCAUCCUUCGGGGUGAGCGGCGGACGGGUGAGUAACGCGUGGGAACGUGCCCUCCUCUACGGAAUAGCCUCGGGAAACUGAGAGUAAUGCCGUAUACGCCCGCAAGGGGAAAGAUUUAUCGGAGGAGGAUCGGCCCGCGUUGGAUUAGGUAGUUGGUGGGGUAACGGCCUACCAAGCCGACGAUCCAUAGCUGGUUUGAGAGGAUGAUCAGCCACACUGGGACUGAGACACGGCCCAGACUCCUACGGGAGGCAGCAGUGGGGAAUCUUGGACAAUGGGGGCAACCCUGAUCCAGCCAUGCCGCGUGAUCGAUGAAGGCCUUAGGGUUGUAAAGAUCUUUCAGCUGGGAAGAUAAUGACGGUACCAGCAGAAGAAGCCCCGGCUAACUCCGUG
rnacentral:rRNA from 1 species